rnacentral:rRNA from 1 species
UAUCGGUAUGGGAUGGGGUCGCGUCCUAUCAGCUUGAUGGCGGGGUAACGGCCCACCAUGGCUUCGACGGGUAGCCGGCCUGAGAGGGCGACCGGCCACAUUGGGACUGAGAUACGGCCCAGACUCCUACGGGAGGCAGCAGUGGGGAAUAUUGCACAAUGGGCGCAAGCCUGAUGCAGCGACGCCGCGUGCGGGAUGACGGCCUUCGGGUUGUAAACCGCUUUUGACUGGGAGCAAGCCCUUCGGGGUGAGUGUACCUUUCGAAUAAGCACCGGCUAACUACGUGCCAGCAGCCGCGGUAAUACGUAGGGUGCAAGCGUUAUCCGGAAUUAUUGGGCGUAAAGGGCUCGUAGGCGGUUCGUCGCGUCCGGUGUGAAAGUCCAUCGCUUAACGGUGGAUCCGCGCCGGGUACGGGCGGGCUUGAGUGCGGUAGGGGAGACUGGAAUUCCCGGUGUAACGGUGG